GGGAAACUUGUUGUAGCACUCUUAACAUGGUAAGCUUUUCAAGGGCAGGAACAUAUUGCGAUAAUUGCACUUCUGGAACUGAUGAGGCUGAAGAGAGCUUGGACCCAAGCUUGGAUAUCUUAGCAAGCAAUGGUUGAACUCUUGAAGCAAGAUCCAAUGGAAGAAAUUCAUGUUCCAAAAUAUUGUACAGGUCCUUUACUUCUUGAGAGAUGCACGACAGUAUGCCUUUCGAUGCCAGUUCUGAGAGGAGCGAUGACCGUGAAAGCGCUUCUCUAUUAUCGCGUUUCAGAUCAAGAUUAAACCCGAGCAGGCUAGCCAUCCGCAAAUUUCGC
rnacentral:misc_RNA from 1 species